rnacentral:rRNA from 1 species
CACCUCUAGCAUUACCAGUUUUAGAGGCACUGCCUGCCCAGUGACAUUAGUUAAACGGCCGCGGUAUCCUGACCGUGCAAAGGUAGCAUAAUCAUUUGUUCCUUAAUUAGGGACUUGUAUGAAUGGCCCCACGAGGGUUUAACUGUCUCUUACUUUUAAUCAGUGAAAUUGACCUUCCCGUGAAGAGGCGGGAAUAUGACAAUAAGACGAGAAGACCCUAUGGAGCUUAAAUUAAUAUGCUCAACAAAAUUUAAAUUUAACCCAACAGGAAUAAUCACAAUUUAACUGAGCAACAAAUUUUGGUUGGGGUGACCUCGGAGUAUAACAAAACCUCCGAGUGAUUUUAACUAAGACACACUCGUCAAAGUUACAUAACUUAUUGAUCCAAUCAUAUUGAUCAACGAAACAAGUUACCCUAGGGAUAACAGCGCAAUCCUAUUCGAGAGUUCAUAUCGACAAUAGGGUUUACGACCUCGAUGUUGGAUCAGGACACCCAAAUGGUGCAGCAGCUAUUAAAGGUUCGUUUGUUCAACG